CUUGCGGCGAAUAGGAGUCUGGUCAGGCGUCAGGCUAGUCCGACGAAGAGUGGGUAGGUGGAAGCCUUCCAAAGAGCGGCGGUUGUCUGGGAGCCGUCUCAGUUGGCCGCGACCCGGGCGCAUGCGCGGGGCGGGCGGUGCGCCUUGGGUAGCUUGUCCUCUCCGACCCCGGGCGCUGAGGGCCUCUGUACGGCGCCGCGUAGGGUCUCGGCCGCAGAACGUGGCCGAGAGGCCCGGGCGAGACUUCGGGACCGUGUCCUGAGCGCUCUCCAUGCGCCCGGCGCGAGAGAAUUUCAAGAUUGUGGAGUUGGACUGAAUGCUGCACAGUUCAAACAGCUGCUUAUUUCGGCUGUGAAGGACCUGUUUGGGGAGAGUUUCGCUCUUCUUGCCCAGGCUGGAGUGCAAUGGCACGAUCUUGGCUCACCGCACCCUCCGCCUCCCAGGUUCAAGCGAUUCUCCUGCCUCAGCCUCGCAAGUAGCUGGGAUUACAGGUUGAUGCCGCCUUACCUUUGGACAUCCUAACCUAUGAAGAGAAGACCUUGUCAGCCAUCUUGAGA
rnacentral:lncRNA from 10 species